UAUAGACCAGUAAAAUAUUAAGGAAAACCUCUCUACCCAAUGGGACCCAGUGCUCAGUCUAGAAGAUCCCAUAAAGCAUCUCUGUGAUGCUUAGUUUCAGUUCUCAAACUGUGGAUUUGUGCCUCC